rnacentral:rRNA from 1 species
UACGUAGGGCGCAAGCGUUAUCCGGAAUUAUUGGGCGUAAAGAGCUCGUAGGCGGUUUGUCGCGUCUGCCGUGAAAGUCCGGGGCUCAACUCCGGAUCUGCGGUGGGUACGGGCAGACUAGAGUGAUGUAGGGGAGACUGGAAUUCUCGGUGUAGCAGUGAAAUGCGUAGAUAUCGAGAGGAACACCAGUGGCGAAGGCGAGUCUCUGGACGACUCCUGACACUGAGGCACGAAAGCUGGGGGAGCAAACAGG